rnacentral:rRNA from 1 species
UGGGGAAUUUUGGACAAUGGGCGCAAGCCUGAUCCAGCCAUUCCGCGUGCAGGAUGAAGGCCCUCGGGUUGUAAACUGCUUUUGUACGGAACGAAAAAGCUCCCUCUAAUACAGGGAGUCCAUGACGGUACCGUAAGAAUAAGCACCGGCUAACUACGUGCCAGCAGCCGCGGUAAUACGUAGGGUGCAAGCGUUAAUCGGAAUUACUGGGCGUAAAGCGUGCGCAGGCGGUGAUGUAAGACAGAUGUGAAAUCCCCGGGCUCAACCUGGGAACUGCAUUUGUGACUGCAUCGCUGGAGUGCGGCAGAGGGGGAUGGAAUUCCGCGUGUAGCAGUGAAAUGCGUAGAUAUGCGGAGGAACACCGAUGGCGAAGGCAAUCCCCUGGGCCUGCACUGACGCUCAUGCACGAAAGCGUGGGGAGCAAACA